GACGAACGCUGGCGGCGUGCUUAACACAUGCAAGUCGAACGGAAAGGCCCUGCUUUUGUGGGGUGCUCGAGUGGCGAACGGGUGAGUAACACGUGAGUAACCUGCCCUUGACUUUGGGAUAACUUCAGGAAACUGGGGCUAAUACCGGAUAGGAGCUCCUGAUGCAUGGUGGGGGUUGGAAAGUUUCGGCGGAUGGGGAUGGACUCGCGGCUUAUCAGCUUGUUGGUGGGGUAGUGGCUUACCAAGGCUUUGACGGGUAGCCGGCCUGAGAGGGUGACCGGCCACAUUGGGACUGAGAUACGGCCCAGACUCCUACGGGAGGCAGCAGUGGGGAAUAUUGCACAAUGGGCGGAAGCCUGAUGCAGCAACGCCGCGUGCGGGAUGACGGCCUUCGGGUUGUAAACCGCUUUCGCCUGUGACGAAGCGUGAGUGACGGUAAUGGGUAAAGAAGCACCGGCUAACUACGUG
rnacentral:rRNA from 1 species